rnacentral:rRNA from 1 species
CACAGAGAGCUUGCUCUCGGGUGACGAGCGGCGGACGGGUGAGUAAUGUCUGGGAAACUGCCUGAUGGAGGGGGAUAACUACUGGAAACGGUAGCUAAUACCGCAUAACGUCGCAAGACCAAAGUGGGGGACCUUCGGGCCUCAUGCCAUCAGAUGUGCCCAGAUGGGAUUAGCUAGUAGGUGGGGUAAUGGCUCACCUAGGCGACGAUCCCUAGCUGGUCUGAGAGGAUGACCAGCCACACUGGAACUGAGACACGGUCCAGACUCCUACGGGAGGCAGCAGUGGGGAAUAUUGCACAAUGGGCGCAAGCCUGAUGCAGCCAUGCCGCGUGUAUGAAGAAGGCCUUCGGGUUGUAAAGUACUUUCAGCGAGGAGGAAGGCAUUAAGGUUAAUAACCUUGGUGAUUGACGUUACUCGCAGAAGAAGCACCGGCUAACUCCGUGCCAGCAGCCGCGGUAAUACGGAGGGUGCAAGCGUUAAUCGGAAUUACUGGGCGUAAAGCGCACGCAGGCGGUCUGUCAAGUCGGAUGUGAAAUCCCCGGGCUCAACCUGGGAACUGCAUUCGAAACUGGCAGGCUAGAGUCUUGUAGAGGGGGGUAGAAUUCCAGGUGUAGCGGUGAAAUGCGUAGAGAUCUGGAGGAAUACCGGUGGCGAAGGCGGCCCCCUGGACAAAGACUGACGCUCAGGUGCGAAAGCGUGGGGAGCAAACAGGAUUAGAUACCCUGGUAGUCCACGCCGUAAACGAUGUCGACUUGGAGGUUGUGCCCUUGAGGCGUGGCUUCCGGAGCUAACGCGUUAAGUCGACCGCCUGGGGAGUACGGCCGCAAGGUUAAAACUCAAAUGAAUUGACGGGGGCCCGCACAAGCGGUGGAGCAUGUGGUUUAAUUCGAUGCAACGCGAAGAACCUUACCUACUCUUGACAUCCAGAGAACUUAGCAGAGAUGCUUUGGUGCCUUCGGGAACUCUGAGACAGGUGCUGCAUGGCUGUCGUCAGCUCGUGUUGUGAAAUGUUGGGUUAAGUCCCGCAACGAGCGCAACCCUUAUCCUUUGUUGCCAGCGGUCCGGCCGGGAACUCAAAGGAGACUGCCAGUGAUAAACUGGAGGAAGGUGGGGAUGACGUCAAGUCAUCAUGGCCCUUACGAGUAGGGCUACACACGUGCUACAAUGGCAUAUACAAAGAGAAGCGACCUCGCGAGAGCAAGCGGACCUCAUAAAGUAUGUCGUAGUCCGGAUUGGAGUCUGCAACUCGACUCCAUGAAGUCGGAAUCGCUAGUAAUCGUAGAUCAGAAUGCUACGGUGAAUACGUUCCCGGGCCUUGUACACACCGCCCGUCACACCAUGGGAGUGGGUUGCAAAAGAAGUAGGUAGCUUAACCUUCGGGAGGGCGCUUACCACUUUGUGAUUCAUGACUGGGGUGAAGUCGUAACAAGGUAACCGUAGGGGAACCUGCGGUUGGAUCACCUCCUUACCUUAAAGAA